UGUACCGGUUGUGACGCCAGUCGCAUCGCCGGGUAGCUAUGUUCGGAAGGGAUAACCGCUGAAAGCAUCUAAGCGGGAAGCCUACCUCAAGAUAAGAUUUCCCUAGGACUUUAUGUCCUCUAAAGAGCCGUUCGAGACUAGGACGUUGAUAGGUUGGAUGUGGAAGCAUAGUGAUAUGUGAAGCUGACCAAUACUAAUUGCUCGUGAGGCUUGACUAUACAACACCCAAGCAGUUG
rnacentral:rRNA from 1 species